rnacentral:rRNA from 1 species
UAGCGGAGGGAGCUAGCGUUGUUCGGAAUUACUGGGCGUAAAGCGCGCGUAGGGCGGCUUUGUAAGGUUAGAGGUGAAAGCCCGGGGCUCAACCCCGGAACAGCCUUUAAGACUGCAUCGCUAGAAUCCGGGAGAGGUGAGUGGAAUUCCGAGUGUAGAGGUGAAAUUCGAUAGAUAUUCGGAAGGAACACCAGUGGCGAAGGCGGCUCA